GACCUGCCCCUGUAUGUCUUCUUCUCCUCCCUCUUCCGGUGCUUGUUGAUUACACCGAGCUCAAGUUGAAACAGGACAGUUUUUCCUAGCUUCUGUUUGCUUCCCUCCCUCAUCCGUAUGCCUGGAUCAUUUAUCUGUGCCUGCUUCCAGCCUGGAGAACUCCUACACACACUGAAGCGUCAGCUCCCUGUAAUCUCAUCCGGGAGGCUUUCCAAUUCUCCUGGUGUUCCUGGCUAUCAGCUAACUUGGCACGCGCGGGAUAGGAUUUUCAUACAUUUUCCUGUCUCCCUCACGAGAUGAGUAAUUCAAGGGCUGUGUCUUCUCUCCCCAAACUCCAGUGAAACAGUUCUUCAUAACGCUUAGGACAUUUGUGGUAGACACAGCUCUCUGACAUGCAGGUGUUUUCUUGUUUCAGCUAAUCAUUCCGUAUUAGGGCCUGCAGCACUUCCGGUUUUGGUAUUCAGGAAUUCAUACUGAAAUGUUCCAGGGACUCUGAUCUACAAAGGCUCCGUUCCUCGAAUGCAGUGCCAUUUGAGAACACGAGGUGGCACCCGUGGAGGGCUGUUAGAUUGGCCCUAGACCAACACCCGCCCCCUCAUUAGCCUACAUUGUUGUGCCAAAAUACUUGUGAAAAAUCAGCUUGAGGAAGGAAAGGUUUGUUUUGCUCACAGAGAUCUUCAUCAAGACAGGGAAGUCAUGUCUUCAGGAGCAAGAGGUCACACAGGAGGCACAGUCAGAAAUCAGAGG